CAGCCGCGUAAUUCCAGCUCCAAUAGCGUAUAUUAAAGUUGUUGCAGUUAAAAAGCUCGUAGUUGAAUUUCGGGAUCGACGGGUCGGUCGCGCCUCUGGUGUGUACUGGCCCUGUCGGUUUCUCCCUUCUGACGAACCACGAUGUCAUUAAUUUGGUGUCGUGGGAAAUCAGGACUGUUACUUUGAAAAAAUUAGAGUGUUUAAAGCAGGCAUUCGCUUGAAUACAUUAGCAUGGAAUAAUGAAAUAGGACGUUUGAUUUUAUUUUGUUGGUUUCUAAGAUCGACGUAAUGAUUAAUAGGGAUAGUUGGGGGCAUUAGUAUUCAAUUGUCAGAGGUGAAAUUCUUGGAUUUAUUGAAGACUAACUACUGCGAAAGCAUUUGCCAAGGAUGUUUUCAUUAAUCAAGAACGAAAGUUAGGGGAUCGAAGACGAUCAGAUACCGUCGUAGUCUUAACCAUAAACUAUGCCGACUAGGGAUCGGAUGAUGUUAAUUUUUUAAUGACUCAUUCGGCGCCUUACG
rnacentral:misc_RNA from 1 species